rnacentral:lncRNA from 1 species
UAGGUGGGAACUGACUGUCUUCUGCUGCUACCGCUCCGGAAAUCCUCCGGCUAUAAUUCCCACAAAACCCUUAGUCAAAUACUGCUAACCGACCUCAGGGUAAAAUGACCAUUUACCCCUAACCAACCAAGAGUCAAAGUCAAAGUCAACUGCCAGUUGGCCCGACUCGCCGAGUUGACUUGCCAACUCGCCGAGUCCCUAUCCCUUUGUCCGACCAUAAACCCGUCUCUACUCGUCGAGUUAAGCAUUGACUCGACGAGUUCUCCUUCUAAACUAAAGGCCAAAAGUCCUUCAUCCUACUCGCCGAGUUCAUCUUCAUCCGAAGAACACUCUAUGCUGAGACUCGCCGAGCUAUAUGAACAACUCGCCGAGUCUAUUCUUGAGGCAAGAAUAUUGCCUUGAACUCGCCGAGUCAUGGCAUUGACUCGCUGAGUUACUUCAUGAGUGAGUCUGGCUUCCGACCCACUGAGUCACACCCCAUGACUCACUACUCCAACCUACAACACGAAAAGAGGGAAAACUCGGGGACUCGCGACUCGACUCAACGAGUCGGCCACAUGCAAAUACUAUACAUGCGAUUCUGCUUGAAUCCAGCUCAUGCAUGCCAUUCAUAGAUCUGGGUUCCUAGAGCAUGAAUGACACGUNUUCUAGGGCCUGAUUAACACGUAAAGUUUCCAACUUUACGUGUAAAUAAACACCUAUGAGGGUUUUAGGGCUCAAAAUGCACCAAAAGAGUAGAUCUAGGGCUUUCAUGCAAUAUGGCUCCAUAAAGGCAGUAGAUCCAAGCUCCUGGAGCUCAAUCAUGCCUAUAUCUAGAGGCUAAAUAACUUAUUACCAACCCUAAUACACAAACAAGCUUGGGGAAAGGCUCAAGAAGGACUUUCAUGGAGCUACAAGGGACAAUAAGCAUGAAAACAGAGGGAAACUGAGUUAUACCUCAAGGAAAUCACUGAGAUAACCCAAAUAUGCCUGGCAUCUUUCUUCUCUUCUUGAUCUAUUCUCCUUCCCUCUCCAAAUCUUCAAGAAAACACACCAAAAUGCUUCAAACUCACAAGGAACAAGGCUUGAACGAAGUAUAGAGCUCUGAGGGUGAAAGGGACGAGCUUGGGGGCGGAUAAGAGGGUUUAAAUAUGGUGCAAACCCUUGAAAUUUAGGGUUUCAUCAGAUAGCUAGGACUCGUUGAGUCCAGAAUGUGGACUCGCCGAGUCGCCAACUUAAACGUGCUCCCAAACCCGUCUCUACUCGGCGAGUCGGGCCUACAACUCGCCGAGUCCAAGGCUAAAAAUGAAAAUACUUAGAUAGAUUUUACGUACCAGGAACCAGGUGCUACAACAACCUAAUAGGUUUUGGUUGUAUUAUACAAACUUUGUAAAAUUUGAAGAAAACAAAGAAACAUGCUCGGCAUAGGCGUGACACACCCCUUGCUGGAUACGGCGCGUGUGACGAUUUUCUAGGUUUUCAGAUUUAUCUGUUUUUCAAUAAAAAUUGGAGUGAUGGAGAUUAGUGCCCAUAACCAUAACAAGCUUGGUAAUAUUACUAUAAAUAACAAUGUCAUUUUAGGUUACACGUAAGAACAAAAUGAAGCAGAUCCGAAAAUAUAUUUAUUUGAGGGAUUUGUUAUUAAUUAAUUAAUAGUAAAUAAAUGGAAUAUGAAAUAUUUCAGGAUGAUUUGAAAACAUUAGAUAUUUAUUAUUAUAUUUGACAAUUAUCUCUAGAAUUUCAAAUCAUCUCCCUAGAUGGCUCCAAAUCCCAUCAUCCCUAAUAAAUGAAAAUAGUUUUGCCACAUGUCACUCUCUCGUUAACUUGGACACAUGUCAUUUUUUGGUAUUUUUAAAUAAAUGUUUUUUCUAUGUGUCAUUUUCUCAUUGUUUAUCUUUUUUUAAUUAACACAUCAUAUUUACGCCUCAAUUAAUAAUUGUCUUAUUUAAAACUAACCAUUAAAUUACAAUAUUACAACUCAUAUACUAUUAAAUAUGUUUCCUUUUAAAUUCAAAUUUUAAAUUUUAAAUUUUAAAUUUAAAUAAAUUUUUGUUUAAACCUUCAUAUUUAAUUUCUUUUUGUUUUAUCCAACCCUAUCACAUACCGGUCAAACGACUAGUUUUUAAUACGUGCGAAAUAUACCUCUAACUUGUCAAAUUUUGGAAUCUAAAACCCCUAAGGGGAUGUUUGGUAUAGGGAAAUGGAAUUGUUUCCAUUUCUCUUGUUUGUAUAACAUGAUUAUGACCUAAACAAUUUUUCUACUAGUCGAAUAUUGGCAACCCAUCGAAGACUGGCAACGAACAAUUAUGCAAAUAAGGUAAUAUUUUUCCGUAUCAUCGAUUUAAUUGAUGUUGUUUUGUUGUAAUUUAUUAGUUUUUGUGAAUCAUAGUUUGUUUUCUGCACCGUUUAACCUCUUGAUCUUGACUUCUUCCACCUCUUGAAUAGAGGAUGUAAGUAAUCCGUAGCUGGUUUGUUUUCUGCAGGGUUUAACCACUUGAGGGUGUUUGAAAGUUGUGGCCUGUUUAUCUCAUUCUUUUUUCUUUUAUGUUGCGCAUUAGUAUACGGGCUUUCAGAGGAGUUGUUGACCUUCAAAACAUUCAGAGAUGUUGCACACACCACCUGCUCGAUGAAAUGUCACAGUUAGUCUUCAAACACAAAUACAAAAUCAUAGUUAGUAUAUCGAGUUCUUACCUUAGACAUGGUUGCAAAAGGGCUUCCUUUGGGUACCCUCCUUCUCUCCAAGUGGGAGAUCAAUAUUGUAAGUAGUUAUUACCCAUGUUUAUGAGUUUAUCUUUUGUUAUGGUGCUUUUGAAAUGACGACCUGGUUUGAUAGUUUGUAAAACAAUGGCUACGUUAUGGUAUGUUUUAAGCAAUACAUAUGUUAUGGUCCAUGCUAGUUUUUCAUGGGGUAUUGUAGUAGCAUAAAGGCAUAAAAUUAUCAAUUAAUUUUAUUGUUAUUCUUGGUCAGCUUGCUCCACUUUGGCGAUUUGAGAAUAUAAAGUUGGAGUAUAUUGUAAAAUCUUUGGUCAUAGUAGAGCUAACUAUACUUUGUAUAAUCAAAAUUGAAAAUUGAAAAUUUAUAAACAUAAAAGAUGACAAAUUUACAAAUUAAGAUGUACAUCAUAUGAUCAUAACAACAUUAUUGUAAAAAAAAAUAUUGUUUGAAAAUGAAUAAACUUGGUAAAAAAAAUUUAUUUCCAUAUCCUUGCUUAAUGCAACCAGGAGAAAUGAUUCUCAAGAACAGUUUAAUUCUCUUUUUCUUCUUUGUAUUUCCAUUCUCUAUUCCAAUUCCAUUUCUUUGUAUCAAAGGACCCUAAGUUCUAACUGUACCAAAAGUAGGCAAGACCUCGUAGCCCAUAUUUUGAAUCAAGAUUCAACAUCCCUGAAACCCCACCCCGACUAUUUCUAUUUUCUAAUCUCUAAUGCAAUCGAAGUGGAUGGAAAAGAACAAAAGAAGCAUAAAAGCUUACACAUGGAAAAGCUUAAAAGCGAAGAGUUUAGUUGUGGGUUGUGUGAUUGUGUGUGAAACACGUAAACAAAACAAUAGCCACUUCAUGUAUCUACUUGAAACCACCACGACCCUACACACACAGAGUAUCCUUUUCUUGUAUGUUUCUACUUUUCUUUUUAAUCUUGCAUUUGGUGCAAUGUUACUGAUUCACCUUAGCCUUUACCCCACUAGACGAAACAAUGUGUUUAUAAACAUAGCGGCUUUUUAAUUGCAAAUCGACGGAGCAGCCGGAGAAGAUUAGUGGUAGGGAUUUUAACAAUUAAAAAACUAAUAGUUAAACUUUUUCAAUAUUAGAUUAUUAGUAAACUUUUUCAAUAUAAACCUAGUAAUGGAACAUGAAAACCUAUAUAUUUACAUUUUUUAAUAGAAAUAUAGCAACUUCAUUUAUAAGUGUCGGAAAUGUAACCACAGUGAUAUUGUUAUGACUUAAGAACAACCACGGACGCAGAUUAUAAGGUUAAACACUAUUUUAAACAAUAUAUAUAUAUAUAUAUAUAUAUCCAUAUUUGGACAAGAUAAUUAUAUUGACUUGGUUAAUAUAAGUUAGAACAAGGUGCAUAUAACAUGCAUAUGAUAUGAGAGAAAAGAAGUAGAUAUAUAAUUAGAGAAAUUAAAUAUCCCUCUACCUUUUGUUCCUACAAAUCCUCCUACACAUUUAAAUAAUGACAUAUGUCAUAUUAGUUUCCUAAAAUAUCUUUAAAUUUCAUUAAAUGUUAUACAUGUCACCAUUUCGUUUUGCACUUUGACGAAUUUGGGACUUUUGCUAGAGGUUGCAAUUCGACUUUCAUAUCACUGGUUCCUAAGGUCAAAGAUCCCAUCUCUCUCACAGAUUACCGGCCCAUCAGCCUUAUGGGAUGUAUGUCUAAAAUCAUUUCGAAAAUCCUUGCCACCCGAAUUAAAUCUGUUAUCGGGGAUCUUAUUGGAGAUGUACAGUCAACGUAUGUAGAAGGCAGGAGUAUCUUAGACGGCCCACUAAUGAUAAAUAAACUAAUUUCUUGGUCAAAAGUGGCUAAAAGGAAGAUUUUAAUGUUCAAAGUUGAUUUCGACAAAGCCUUCGAUUCCAUCAACUGGGAAUAUCUUGAUUCGGUACUCUCACAGAUGAGUUUUGGUAGUAAAUGGAGACAAUGGGUCCGUGGCUGCCUCCACUCAUCCCGGGCCUCAGUGUUAAUCAAUGGUUCACCAACUUGUGAGUUUGGAAUAUCUAAAGGAGUUCGACAAGGAGACCCUUUAUCCCCUUUCCUCUUCGUCAUUUCCAUGGAAGGCCUCAAUGUAGCGCUCGAAGCUGCAAAGGUAAACGGUACCUUCAAAGGCAUCCAAAUCCCAAAUCACGGCCCCACCCUAUCACACCUGUUUUACGCGGAUGAUGCCUUAUUCGUGGGUGAGUGGUCCAGAUCCAACCUAAAAAACUUAGCCAGCAUUCUAAAAUGUUUUAACGCAUCCUCGGGCCUCAAAGUCAAUUUCCAUAAAUCAAAGGUUUUUGGAAUUGGAACCUCAAUUAGAGAAACUGAGAACUGGGCUAGCAUUUUUGGGUGUGAAGCGGGUUCAUUCCCCUUUAACUAUCUCGGAAUUCCGAUUGGAGCAAAUAUGAAUUUGUGCAAAAACUGGAAACCUAUCAUCGAUAAAUUCCAAUCCAAGCUAUCUACAUGGAAAUCAAAGACACUCUCAUUCGGGGGUAGAUUGACACUAAUCACCUCGGUCCUGGGGAAUCUUCCCACUUACUUCUUCUCUAUGUUCAAAGCCCCGAAGGCUGUCACGGAUAAACUUGAUCAAAUUAGACGGAGAUUCUUAUGGGGUGGAGAUGACAGCAAAAGGAAAAUCCAUUGGGUGUCUUGGGACAAAGUUGUUGCUCCCAAAUCUGAAGGCGGACUAGGAGUGGGAACUAUUCGUACCUUGAAUACUAGCUUGCUAGUAAAAUGGUGGUGGCGACUUAAAACUGAGAAAAACUCCCUUUGGGUUAAAGUUGUAAAAGGUAUUCAUAAUCUUCACAGCAAACCUCAUGAUUAUCUUUCAAAUCUAAAAAUAAGUGGCGUAUUGAACAACAUUGCAGCAUGCAAGAAUGAUCUCAAAAAAGUUGGGUUGGACACUAUGGAUGUUUUUCAAUUAAACAUCAUAUCCAGUGAUAAUUCAUUUUUUUGGUAUGACAAAUGGUUAGGUCUGGUUACACUUGAAGAAAAAUACCCAUCUCUGUUUGAGUUGGAAUCCAGGAAGAAAUGUUUGGUGUCUGACAGAUUUAUAGACAAUCAAUUUGAAGCUCAUUGGAAAUCCAACGUGAUUGAUAACAUCGAAAUUAGGUGCAUCAAUAAUCUCAAAAACGAGUUAUCAAGGGUACAUUUGGAACCGGGAGAAGAUCAAUGGGCUUGUGCACUAGAUAAUGGCAGCCAGUUCACUGUAAGCUUGCUAAGGAAAAAAUUGGAACAUUUACAAUACCCUGAUUGUGUUUUACCAACUUUUAAAUGGAGUAAGGUAACUCCGAUCAAAGUCAACUGUUUUAUAUGGAGAGCGAUGCAAAGGAAGAUUCCAUCCGCAGUGGCAUUGAAAUGCAAAGGGGUUGAUAUAGAAAAUGAUAACUGUGGCGCUUGUGUUAACAGAUUGGAAUGCUCUGAUCAUAUUCUGGUAUAAUGUCCAUUCGCAUGUGAAGCCAGGAAGAUUAUUUUCAAUUGGUGUGGUUUACAACAGGUUGAGUUCUCAUCAGUUGGAGAAUUAAUCAUUUUUGCAGAAUUGGGGAAGCAACUCAAGGAAGGCGAUAAGAUUCCUCAACAUAUGUCAUGGCCUAAUCUGGAUCCUAUGGAAACUUAAGAAUGAGCGGGUGUUCAAUGGAGUAUUUCAUACUCUCAUUUAUGGUGCAAGGGCAAUUAAGUCGAUGGUGUACUUCUGGACAAAGAACAGAGACAAUGAAGGAAUAGGUGAUUGGGAUAACUGGACCGUGUCUCCAUUUAUACUUUAAGUUCAUAAUAAUGUAUAUCAUUCCAUGUAUGUUUCUGCUUCGACCUUGUACUUCCGUUCCCCUGCUAGUUACUUGCUAGUAGUGGUUCGUUUUUAUUAAUAUUAUUCGCCGUUUCAAAAAAAAUAAUAAUAAAUAAAAAUAGGAGGAUAUUUAAUUUCUCAUAUAAUUAUAUCAAUAACUUGGUUAAUGCUUAAUACUCUGUAUAAUUAAUGCUUCAAAAAUAAAUGUUUGGUAUUUAUUAACAGUUUUAGUUGGCUUUUGUGGUUCUUGUAUUAAUUAGUUUCUUUGGGUGUUCUUCUUUUAAUUCACUCUUUAUUGUAUUGUACAUUGUCGGCUCGUAGGUUCUUGUAUUAUUUUGUUUCUUUGGGUGUCCUUUUAAUUCGCUCUUUAUUGUAUCUGUACAUUGUCGGUUCAUAGGUGGUUGUUUUGUGUUUUUUAUUAAUAUAUAUAUUGCAUUACCUUUCUAAGAAAAACAUAUGUUUUAAAUUUAAAGGUUUAACAACCAUGAUUUUGACACCUCGACUCGAGUGACAUGUGUCGGAGUUACAAUCCGGUACGAUAACGCAUUCAUGCUCUUCCCCAAGGACGUGGCUUUCUUUCUUCUUUCUACACAGUUGCGUUGAUUAUAUGUAGUAUAUAGAGUCAUAAAGUCAUGCAGAGGUAUCGAAGCUCUAAAGGAACCUUUAAAGUUUAAACAAACAGAUCAAAAAACCACUUCUUGAUACAAAGGAAGAUGUCAACUGAUGAAAACAGUACUAAUGAGCUCCACUUAGUGAUGUUUCCUUUUCUGGCUUAUGGUCACAUAAGUCCCUUUGUACAGCUCUCCAAUAAGUUAUCCUCUUAUUCUGGUAUCAGGAUUUCCUUCUUGGCUGCUUCCGCCAAUGUCCGGCGUAUAGAAACCAUGCUCAACCGCACCGCCGCCACUCAAAUCAUCCCUCUCACUCUCCCUCAUGUCGACGGCCUCCCUGAAGGGGUGGAGAACACCGCGGACACCUCCCCAGCCACCGUUGAACUCCUCAAAGUCGCCUUAGACCUCAUGCAACCCCAGAUCAAGAACUUACUUACACAUCUCAAACCUCAUAUCGUAAUCUUCGACUUUGCGCAAUCGUGGCUGCCACCAAUAGCGACUGAGCUCGGCAUCAAAUCCGUCUGUUUCUCGGUUUUUUUGGGGAUCGCCAUCGCGUUUGUCACCGCCUGUAUCGGCCGGAAUAUACCACCGACUAUAGAAGAAGUCAAGAAUCGUCCACCGGGGUUCCCGGGAACCAUCGGUCUCAGAACUUUUGAGGCUUCGGAUUUUCUUUACAUCUUCACGAGCUUCCAUGGCACACCAAGCGUAUUUGACCGUUUGAUAAAAUGCUUUAAUGGAUGCGACGCUAUACUCAUGAAGUCAUGUACAGAAAUGGAAGGACCAUACCUAGAUUAUAUAACCAAACAGGUCAACAAACCACUUCUUCUAAUCGGUCCGGUGGUUCCCGAGCCACAUUCCGGCGAACUGGACCGGACGUGGACCAACUGGUUGACCCACUUCCCGGCCAGAUCCGUAAUCUACUGCUCUUUCGGCAGUGAAACUUUUCUAACAGAUGAUCAGAUAACAGAAUUAGCUUUAGGGUUAGAACUCACCGGUCUUCCAUUCUUCCUGGUGUUGAAUUUUCCGGCGAAUCUCGACAGCUCUGUGGAACUGAGAAGAACCCUACCUCUUGGGUUCAUGGAGAGGGUGAAGGGUAAAGGGGUGGUGCAUUCAGGGUGGGUGCAACAACGACAUAUUCUUGCUCACGAAAGUGUUGGGUGCUAUGUCUGUCAUGCUGGUUUCAGCUCUGUUAUCGAAGCUCUGGUAAACGACUGUCAGUUGGUGAUGCUGCCAUUGAAGGGUGACCAGUUCAUGAACUCUAAGUUAAUGGCGAUGGAUUGGAAGGUAGGAGUUGAGGUAAAUAGGAGAGACGAAGAUGGGUAUUUUGAGAAAGAAGAUGUGUUGGAAGCUGUGAAGAGUGUUAUGAUAGAGACUGAAAAAGAACCAGCGAUAUCGAUAAGAGAAAAUCACAAGAAAUGGAAGUGUUUUUUGCAGAAUGAUGAGAUACAAAAUAAGUAUAUCACAGAUUUGGUUAGGGAUUUGAAGACGCUUUAGCAAUAGCACGACUAUAUAGUUUAUAGUCUGAAUUUAACCUCGUCUAUAUGCAUCUAAAUAAUGUUCUAUGCUUUUAGAUUAUGUAAAUAAAUGCAUAAAGGUUUCUAACAUGAGAGCAAUCAAAUAAAAUGUUCUAUUCAUAUUAUCGAUUACAUCAGGUGGGCCCUGUUUUUCUACCUAGUUAGAUUAUUGGUCUCUCUUGAUGGUUAAGUUCUUCAACAACUUUUAGAAGCUCAAGACAUGCAUCAUGUUCAUCACAAUUUAACAAAGAUUCCAUGUAUGAUAAAACUCCAUCUUUCUCCUCAACACCAGCUUUCCACAAAAGAUCAGACAUCAAAUCUUGCAUUUCACGAAUCUUUCCUUCCUUUCGAAGACCAUGAAAUAAAGAACAACAUGAUUCAAAAGAUGGCAUAGGCCCAUGAUCAAACAUCAUCUUCAUCCACACUACACAAUCAUCAUAUUUCCCUUGGUGACACAAGUGUUCAAGAAUCUGAGAACAUGAAGUAAUGUCAGGAAAGUAGCCAUUUUUCACCAUUUCUUGAGCCAAUUCAUAGCCUUCAACUAUUCGUCCCACUUUAUACAACCCCAUGAUCAAGAAACUAUUAACAUCCGAUUCACCAACACCAUGUUUCUUGGCCUUUUGUAAAAACUCAACACUAUGAGUAGCAUUCAUUUCUUUAAACACAGUAAAAGAAGCAUUUUUAUUUUUAGUUUUACCACUGUUGGAGAUAACUAAUCCUUCAAGCAAUGAAGAAAAAGUCUCAAAGUUUGGUGGACACUUGUCUUUUACCAUAUCAUUCAAGAUUCCAAAUGCAUGAUCCAACUCACCCGAUUUAACAUAAGCUUUAAUCAAUAUAGUAUAAGUAACGACAUUUGGAGAUACACCCGUAUCACACAUAGUUUCAAGAAGCUUCAAUCCUUCAUCCAUUCUACCAUUUUGACAUAAUGAAUCGAUGAAAAUCGUGAAUGUGUAGACAUUUGGAGGACAAUUACAAAGUUUCAUUGAUUCAAAAACUUUUAAAGAUUGAUCAAAAUUACCUUCCCUUAAAUACCCAUCAAUUAGAAUUGUGUAAGUCACCACAGAAGGAGUCACACCACAUUUCAACAUCUUCCCAAAAAUUGCAUUCGAAUAGCCCACCUUUGUAUCUUUAUUAAAAGCAUCAAUCAGUGAGUUGAAGAUAUGAGGGCUGGUCAAAGUAAGAUGUUUGACCAUUCGAUUAAAAAGCAAAACUGCAUUUUCUGUUUUACCAUUCUUGCAAUACCCAUCGAUAAGAACAGUAAAUGUGACUUCAUCAAGAAUUACACCCUUUUUCAUCAUUAAACCCAAGAUCCCAUUUGCUUGAUCCACUUUUCCUUCUUUGGAAAGCUGAUCUAUGAGUGUUGUAUAUGCAAAUCCAUCAGAUUCAAGGUGAAGUGAAUCCAUGGAGUUUAGAAUCCUAAAAGCCAUACCAAGUUGGCCUUCUUUACAAAACCCAUCAACCAAUAUGUUAUAAGUUAGUGUCUCGGGUCUUAAAUCAUUCUCAACUAUCUUUCUCAAUAAUGCCAUGGCUUUGUAAGGCUUACCAAUUCUACAUAAACCUUCCAUAAGUUCAUUAAAGGUGCGAAUAUUUGGCCUACUGUUUCUUUUUUCCAUCAUGGCAAGAAGCUCAAAAGCAGAAACAACUCUUUCUUGUUUACAAUAACCAUUGAUGAGUGCAUUGUAAGUAAUCGUGCCUGGAAUUAAUCCAUCUUUGAUCAUUUUUCUAAACAUUGAAUUUGCCUCUUCAAUUUUACCUUCCAUGCAUAAUCCAUUGAUCAAUAUUGUGUAAGUAUGAGCAUUAGAGUUACUUCCUUUCUUGAGCAUCUCAUCAAGUAAAUACAUAGCUUUAUCAGUAGAACCUAAGUCACAAAUUGCUUUAAUGAGAACAGUAUAUGUACGCGUAGUUGGAUGGCAUCCAUUCAUGACCAUUUUUUCCUUUAAUGCAAAUGCUUCUGUGAGCUUACCUGCUUCACAUAGACCAUGAAUCAGUAUCGUGAAAGUUACCUCAUUUGCCCCACAUCCAUCUCUUUUUGACAUUACAUCAAACACUUGGAAGGCCUCUUUAAGAUCGCCUAUCCUGCAAUAGCCUAAUACUAAAGAAGUUGAAAUAUGAACAUCUAUAUUAAACCCAAGUUUCACAAUUCUUGAAACAAACAUUUCCGCACCUCGUACAAACCCAUUCUUGCACAAAGCGUUUAUCAGUGUGUUGUAAUCUAUGGAACCUAAAAUGAACCCAUCAUUCACCAUUCUUUUAUAAACUGAAAAGGCUGAUAAGCCCAUUUGUAGCUUACUUAAACACAUCAAAAGAGUACUAUAACAAGGGUAACUAAUCCUGAAACCAAAUUUCCUCAUAUCAUCAAGAACUCUAAUUAAUCUAAAAGCCUCAUUUACAGUAUUACUACAAUCUUUGAUCAAGACAACGAUCACCUUGUGUAAAACCCCAAAAUAAUUACCACGCAUAAUUAAAUUCGAAAGAUGGAUUCUACUAUCCAUACUGUAACAAUAAGUUGACUGUUUACACACCCAUUUGAAAAAUCGGACGCAGAGUGCGACGUUCUCGUUGUGAAAGGAGAUGACCUUACACGCUGAUUCAGGACUCAUGUGGGAAGCAAGUGAUUUAAGAUAUAUGUUAUGUUCCCAAUUCGGUUGUUUCAGAAGAUUUGCUAUGUGAUCAAGGUUGUCAUUGUUUGCGGGUUUCUGGGUGAACUGAAAAACAUGGCAAAGCGUUCGAUUGUGUUUGACGGAGAGGCUUCGAAGUUUGCUUGUAGAAAUCAACAUGCAUUUGACUAAAGAAUUUCAGGCAGCGAGGUCUGAACUCUGUAGAUUCGAAAAGAGUCGGCGCGAGACCGAUUAGUAGGAGAGGGUGGAGGCCUAUGCAAACAGAGAAAUGGUGGCGAACUGAAAUUUAGAGCACGCCAUGAUAUAGUCAAAAUUUAGAAAGGACUAAAAUAAAAAAAAUAAAAAAAAUAAAAAGGUUUAUAAAACGGCAUUGUGUUGCAGGGGCGAGAGAAAGGAGAGAGGAAAGAUUUUUUUUUAUUUUUUUUAUUUUUAAGGAGUGAGAGUCCGGGGUUUAAGUUAUUUUUUUUUAUAGAUUGGUUAAACAAAAUUGCAAAAUUUUUGUGGUAUGUAUUUUUUUUUUAGUCCAAAUCAUGACUUUUUUGGAUUGAUGGUCCUUUUGAAAUAGUUUAUUUGUGAUUUUGGUCUUUCAAUAAAUUGAAAAGACUAAAUUACCCUUACCAUAUUUCCUUUUUUCUUAUAAGUAUUUAUAUAUAUAAAAUAAAAAUAGGGGUCCACAUCUCUGUGUGUAUGUGUGUGAAAAAACAAAGCAGUGUCCUCCAUUCCAGUCCUACUUCUUCCUUCUUUCUCGACAAUACACAAACCUAAAUACCCCUUGGAGAGCAUCAUUUCCAGCUGCACCCACUAUAUGUCGAAAACGACUCGUCGACACCCCUAAUUGCUGAGUGAAUCUCGUGAAAAACCCACCGGAAGUUUCCCCCAUUUCGCGACUAUUUUCAACCUCCAACAAGAUCCCUCAUUGACCCAUUUACUUCAAUUAGUGAUCCACAAGUUAUCUUUCCCGUUUUUUUGUCGAAAUCGAGCCAAAACGACCAAGAACAACUGCCACACGCCACCGUGGUCGGCGGUACGUGGAGCAAAGGCACAACUGCUCCGGUGGAAUUUUUCAAUUGAAAUCAGAUUUCCUAAGUUCUUAACAUGUUGGUUUUCCAUUAUGUAUGUGUAGAUUGUCUCCAAAUCAUCCCGUUUAAAAAGUUGAGUUUGUAAUCGGUUUCCGAUUUCUCGAUCAUUCUGAGUUUUCAUCUACUAGUUUUUCACAGAGGUUUUUUCUUUUAUGUGAUGUAGGUCUUGUAUCUGAUUUCUUGUUCAUCCAAUCACAAUACUGUACAUAUUUAAUAUCAAUGGAAUUGUUAUCAGGUUCCACCAUGUAGAUUGGAAAAGAGCACAUGAAGCUACUUCAGAAACAUCUUCUGUUCUUGUAGAUGGAUGAGCCACGUCAAAGGAGAAAUACGUAGGAGGAUGGUGCUCCGUUAUUAUUCCUGUUACAGAGCUGAUGAGUUCCCCACCGACAUCAGGAGGGUGCGACGAUGGAGGUUGUGGAGAGAUGUUAGGGGUGGUGAGGUUUUGAAGACCGAAUACAAAAAGAAGGGGAAGCUGGUGAAGAAAGAGCAUUUUGGUUCCAAUGAUCGACGGCGUAGCAGUGGAGAAGGCAAAGCAUGAAUUCGACGGUAUUUUAGGGGUUGUGUGUGUUUAGAGAGAGAGAGAGAGAGAAAGAGAGAGAGAGGUGGGUCUCAUAUUUUUUAUUAAUAAAACUUUAAAUUAAAUAGAAAUAAACAUAUAAAAUAUAUCAGAAGGGUAUUUUAGUCUUUUUAGUUUAGCGAAAUACCAAAAUCACAAGCAAACUACCUCAAAAGGACCAUCAGUUCAACAAAGUCAUGAUUUGGACUAAAACCCCAAAAAAAUGCAUACCACAGGGACCAUUUUUGCAAUUUUGUCGAUUGGUUAUAAUGAUUUAUGUUUUAUAAAUUUGUAUAAUAUAAUAUUUUAAUGCAUAAAUUAUUUUGUAUAGAGAAAAUUUGUUGUGUACGAAUAACUCUUUUUCUUUUAUUUAUUUUAUUUUUACAUUUUACCAAAUUGACUAACCUAUUAGUGUAUAUGUAUUAUUAUAUGUAGCCCAUUUGUAAUAGUUUAGCCCAUGUUGUUGUUGUAGCCCAAUACUUGUAUUUGUAUUUAUUCUUUUGAGUAAUGAAAAUCACGUAAGGGAAAAGACCAAUCUGUCAUGGUAUCAGAGACUAGUUCCCAGAAAACCUACUUUCCUUCUUCUCCAUCUUCCUCUCGAUCUUACUGUUUUCGGGCCUAAACCUAGCCGCCGACCAACCCACCCUCCAUCUUCUUCUCAAUCUUAACAAUGGUUGGUGAAACCUCCAAUCCCAAAAAUCAGAAAACCUAUGGUGCUCUCAAUAUCAAGACUUAUGUUCCUAUAAUUCUUGAUCUCAAUGAACUCAAUUAUAAUGCAUGGCGGGAAUUAUUUGAAACCCAUUGUCGUGGCUUUGGUGUUCGUGAUUUUCUCACAGGUGAUUCCAAACCCACUUCUGACAAAAGAUGAAGAAUGGUUCACUCUUGAUUCUGUGGUUAAAACGUGGCUCUAUGGCACCCUCACACAAUCCCUUCUCAACAUGAUUCUCACAAAGAACUCCACAUCCCAUACGGUUUGGCUAAGUCUUGAAAAUCUCUUCCGAGAUAACAAGGACGCCAGAGCAAUUGAACUUGACAGUGAACUAAGAAGCAUGACACUAGGCGAUCUUUCCAUUGCUCAAUAUUGCCAACGAAUGAAGUCCAUAUCAGAUCUCUUGGUGAAUAUUGACAACCCUAUACCCGAGAAAACACUCGUUGCUCAUCUUCUCAAUGGUCUCUCUCCUCAAUAUGAACACAUUGCCACCCUCCUACGCCACCGAGAUCCUCUACCCACUUUUCUUCAAGCUCGCUCAAAACUUUUGGUUGAAGAACAAAUGUUCAAGAAUUCUCGCCCUCCUCAAGCAUCCCACUCGGACUACCCAUCAUCCUCAUAUGUUCUACUUGCUGGUAACAACAACCGCAACAGCUCCACCUCAUCCAGUGGAAAUCGCCGCCCCAACCAGCAGCGACGCCAUGGCAGCCACAACACCGAGCAGCAGCAACGCCGCCAGCCUCCUGUUGCGUCUUCUGCAAGUCAUCAGUCACAACAGCUGCCUUGGCAUAUUUAUUCUUUUGAGUAAUGAAAAUCACGUAAGGGAAAAAGACCAAUCUAUCAUAACCUUCUCCCUUCAAAUGGCAUGUCAUGCAUCUCUUGUAUAAAAAUGACGUGUCACUGAUGUGGUUGCCAAAAAACUAAUUUGGCAUUUGUGACAUGCUAUGCACCACUUCAUUCGCCCUGAAGGGAAAUGAAAUGUCUCUGUAGGUUUUUUUUUUAAAAAAAAUAAAGGAAUCAGAGAAAAGAAAAUAUGAAAUUAGUGUUGUUUUUUAAUUAUGAGUAAGGAAAUGAGAAGGAAAUAAAUAAUAUAUAUGUGUGUGUGUGUUUUGGAAACUAUCCGUCUAAAUAUAGUCUAAAUGAGAUGGAUUCUUACUUUUCCAUUCCAUUCUUUUUCCUUUUUUUUUUUCCAUUUCUUCUGUUCCAUUGCUUUUUCUUCACUUGUUUUUUAAAUUGAAAACAAAAAGUAAACGUUCUCAUACAAAAAAAACAUCUUUUUGUAUUUUGCAAAUUAAUUAUUGAAAUUCUUUCAUAUAAUUGUCUAACCUUUUAAAUUAUGUAAUAUGAUGAUUGUCAAAGAUACAUAAACAUCAAGGCGUACAAAGGUGCAUCCCAAUAGAGUCGGCAAGGUAAAGGGUUGACCCUUAUUGGGUAGAGAGUUAUCUCAUGAACAAAAAAUAGGAUCACAGGCUUCACCUAGAUACAUUUUUAGGUCUGAAAUCUCUAUAUGUGUAGAUAACAUGUGUUUGUGAGUCCUAGCGACAUGUUCUUGAAUAACUCUCAUUUCUUUCAAAUGAAGGGGAAAAAAAUAUAAAAAUGUUGAUUUAUUUCCCUCUCUUUUCAACUUAAGAACACAAUAUUAUUUCUAUUUCCCUUUAACUCAAGAACACAACAAAAAUACAUGUAUUUUUUUCCCGUCCAUUACUCUUCUUUCCAUUCAUUUUUAACUCAAAAUAAAGCAUGACAAUAUUAUCAAUAAGCUAUUCCUAAUUUGGUCGUGCACAUAACAUAAUUAUAAUUAAUGAUCAUGUGAACAACAUAAAUUUUUAUGUUUUUUUUUCUCAUACUCUAAAUGUAUGCAUGUUGUGUAGUUUGUUUUUUGUUUUUGUUAAUCACUACCUUAUCAUAAUGAAAUGAUAGCUUAGCUUCUAGUUUAGAAUACACUUUAUAUUUCUAAGAAGAUAACAAAUAGAUUUUUUCUAGAAAGUGUCCUUUCAAAUAAUUGUCCAUUAAGUUUUUUGAUUUUGCAAUAUUUAGGAAGCCAUCAUGUGUUUAUAGAACUCUUUAAUUAAUUUGUAUGGUAAUUUGAGUUCUUAUAAGCACCCGUCGUACAACUUCUAUUUAAAGCAAUAAAACUAUUCUAUUGAGGUCCAUUUUAGCCUCUUUAAUUUGAUUGUGAGUUUGGUUCGAGUUUAGCUUACUUUUUUUUUCAUUGAUCAACAUGAUAAACAAGGGUUUUAAAAUACAUAAUGCUAACAACAAUGAGACAACUAUUGAAUAAUUGAUAGUAUUUUGAAGAAUAAUAUUUUGUUAUGGGUCAUACAAUUUGUCACUUUUUUUGUGGUUUGGGUACCCAAAGAAAUUAAAAACGUAAGAAUGAUCGAUUAUGUCAACAUCAGAAUUUAUAUUUUUUAGGUUUCAAAAAAACUAUAUAUGAGAUAAGCUCUUUAUUCAUCAUCUUGCAUAACCAUACAUGUAAAUCUCUUUUAGUAUCUAUAUGCUUAACGAAAUUGAAGCAAUAUUUUUAGUUUUAAAACUUAGAGGGUAUAAAUGCUUAAGUCUAAAAGUUGUUCAUGCUUAACGAAAUCCAAAACUACCAUUUUGAAAUGAUGUCCACGGAUGUUUAAGACGAAAUAUGGAAGCUUAAGGACUCAAACUGUUAAAUACGUGAAAUAUAGGGACGUCCAAGAUCGGUAUCUUUUUCUUUGCUGAAGCUUGAAGGUGAAAUUCUGUCAGUAAUCUAAACCUUAGGAUCUCACGUAUGACGUGGCAAUACAUGAUUGGAUGACCCGCGUCAUCAGGCCUCCCACUGAAGCAACAAAACGUAAGGGCGGUUCGGUCGAAACGCAAAAAUGGCGAAUUUGAGUCUGACCUCUGCAAUGAAGGGAUGCUCUGUGUUGCUUCUGCUAAUUGCCGCCACACUUGGUGAGUUUCAGUGAAGACUAAUGAAAGCUGUUUCGAAAUGGUUUAGUUCAUUAUUUAUCAUAUUUUAAAUCACUUGUUAUGGUUCGAUUGUGGAAAUCGAAUGACGAGUUGAUCUUCUUCGUAAUAUCUCACAGUUUCGGCAAAGAAGUCCGGUGAUGUCACGGAGUUACAGAUCGGCGUCAAGGUAAAAUUCCGGUAGCUCAGUCUUAUUAUUAUCACCUAUAAUCCCUUGAUCCGGCUUAAGUGUGUGAGAUAACAAUUGUGCAUUAUUUAAUUUAUUUACAAGGAGUUAUGAUUGCACUGCGAAUUAUCCACUUCUGUUUCCCGAUCGUAGUUUAGUCUGCUUAUUAUGUAAAAAUUGGUAGGAUCUGUGUUUUAGUUCAUUCUAUUGCUUUCUCUUCUCUUUGUGGUAGAAAAAGAAAAAGAAAUGCUUAAGAUAUCUUCACGGAAUUGUAGUGAGGUUUUGAGUUGAUCUGCUGUUAGUAUAGUAGCUAAAGAUGUCUUAGCUUUCCCAAUUAGGAGGUGUCUUAUGUGCAAUGCAUUUGAUCUGAUAAUUGGUUACACAGUGAAAGCAUGUAUAUAGAGAGAGUAAUGUAGUUAGCUUAUUGAAUUUGAUUUUCACUUUCAUGUUGAUACUUUCCAUUUCUUAUUCUUUCUUGAUGUUUAAUGAUUUUAAAGAGCUAAAAUCAGCUGUGCUGACCAUCAUUUACAUGAACAGUAUCGACCACCCACCCUGAACCUCCAUUUUUGUUGUUGUUGUUGUUGUUGUUGCAGUUCAAACCAGCAUCUUGUGAAAUCCAAGCACACAAAGGUGAUAGGGUGAAAGUUCAUUAUCGGGUGAGUUAGUUGAUACAUCUACAUAGCUAUUUCCUUUCUUUCUCCAUCCCAUCCCAUCCCAUCCCAUCCCCCCUCUUCUCUGAGUUAUUAUCUCAGUUUUCUGUAUCACUUAAUGAAUGAUUGUAUUUGUAUGUAUAUCUUUGAACAUUCUUUAAGCUCUGGUUUUGCAGGGGAAACUUACUGAUGGAACUGUUUUCGAUUCCAGCUUUGAAAGGGGUGACCCAAUUGAAUUCGAACUUGGUACUGGUCAGGUGAUAAAAGGUAUAAAACCAUAUGAUAUGACCCAAUUUGAUUGUUGUGAAAUUCAAUUCUUAUAGUAUAUAUUAUGGAAGUUAACAAAAAUAGUGUAUUCCAGGAUGGGAUCAGGGACUAUUGGGAAUGUGUGUUGGGGAGAAGCGUAAGUUGAAGAUACCUUCAAAGCUGGGUUAUGGAGACCAGGGUUCACCACCUACUAUCCCAGGUACGUAAUGAGCAUAUUUAUAUUUAUUUUAUAGGGAAAAUGUGUUUUAAUUUAAUGGGGAAAGAUAUUAAUAAAUUGAAGAAAUUAAUUUUUGAUACACAGGUGGGGCUACACUUAUAUUUGAUACGGAGCUUAUUGCUGUCAAUGAUAAAGGAUCAGAUGGAGGAGACACCAAUAACAACAGUGAGCUAUGAGUAUGAUCACAAGAAUCCAGAUCAUGACCUUUUAGUAGGAGGAGAGAAUUCUAGAUUUGAUACUUUAAUUUUGUUCCCUAGUAUCUUCAAAAACAAAACAUACAUGUCUUGUACAAGUAUUUGGGAGUUGGGACACCAUUUUAACUCCUUGUUUCACUUAGGUUGAAGUGACGAGGUUAGAGAACUUAAUAUUGAUAUUUUAAAGCAAUUCAGAAAACUAAACAAAAAGAUGAAAACUAUCACCAUUUUGAUCUUCUUCUCAAACCAAAUAAGUAUUAAUGCAUUCCAAAAACCAAAAUGCUAGUUUACAACUUUUUAUCAAUGUAUUGUAUCGUGAAUACCUACCACAUCAUGUAAUUGUCUUUUUUUUUUUAGUUGCAUAUGAAUUUUUGAUAAGCAUCAUAUUCAAGUGGGUCCAUACCCCACUUGGGCUACGUAGGGCGUGUUUGGCAAAAGUAGUUCUUAGCUGGAAGCGGGUAGCGGUUAGUUGGUAGUGUGUAGCUGGUAGCUGGUAACGGGAAACUGUAGCUUUUAUUUGUUAUAUGAAUGUUUGGUAAAAGUAGCUGGAAGCUUUUGAAAUAUAUAAAAUUACAUAAAAGGACAAUUGACUAAAAAUAAAAAAAUAUAUAAAUAUAUUUUUACGGGUAAUUAUGGAAAUUGAUUUCAAAAGCUCCGGAGCGUUUUGUUAAAAGCUACAUGAAGUAGCUUUUAGAAUCAGAAUCGGAGCGUUUUGUUAAAACUAAGAGCUAAAUGCUCGUACUGCCAAACGAAGCUUUUUGUUUAAACUAGAGCGUUUUGUCAAAAGCUAAAAGCUAGAAGCUCCCAAACGCUUCCAAAAGCUUCGUGCCAAACACGCCCAUAGUGUCGUUAAAUUCUGAACAUACUUUGUGAUAUGCUAUUUUUUUUUAAUGAUUGAUAGAUCAAUUUGGUACUAUAUCUAAAUAAACCAAAUUGCUAGUUUAGUUCUCUUUGUAAUUUUCUUGUUUUAGAUUGUAUUAUUCUAUUUUAAUUUUUGCAGCAAGAUACAUACUAUCAAAUAUGUUAGGGGAAGAUUUGUUAGAACUAACCAAGGGCAUUUUAGUAAUUUAGUUUGAUUUUUGUUAGUUAGGUCGUUAGCAACAGUUAAUUUGUUAAGCUUCUUUCCUUCUUGUAUAUAUGAUGAGUCAUUAUGUCAAUUGAUCAAUUAAUGAAUACAGAUCAUUUUGCAACUCAUUCUAUUCUUUCAAUUCAAUCUUGAUAACAUGGUAUUAGAGCUACAUGAUCCGAUUCUUCAUCUUUUGAUUCAAUUUUUCAUAUACUCUAUUUUUUUUGUUUGUUUCUUCAAUGGCUGGAUCACAAUCUAAUUCUUCUAGUUCAUCUAAUUUGUCCAUUGAUCAUUCAAGCCCUUACUUCAUAGGAUCAUCUGAUAACCCCAAUUUCUUACUUGUUACUACUCCAUUCGAUGGAAAUGGAUUCAACUCAUGGAAACGAUCCAUAAUCAUUUCUUUAUCCGCAAAGAACAAAUUGGGGUUCGUUGAUGGAACUAUUUCAAAACCUCUCACUUCUUCACCUAAUUAUCCUAAUUGGUACAGAGCUAAUUCCAUGGUAAUUAUUUGGCUUCUCAACUCGUUGUCCAAAAAUAUUGCUGAAAGCGUUCUAUUCUUACAAACUGCAUAUGAGAUCUGGAAUGAACUCAAUCAACGUUACGAACAAUCAAAUGGAGCUCUUCUUUAUCAAAUUCAGCAACAAAUUUUUUCGUUGUCUCAAGGAUCUGAAAAUUUUUCAUCAUACUUUACCAAAUUGACAAAGGUUUGGGAUGAGCUUCGCAUCGUUCAAAAAUUUCCUCCAUGCUCCUGUGAAUCUGCUGCUGCUAUUCCCAAAUUCCUUGAAGAACAGCGUCUAAUACAACUAUUGAUGGGUUUGAAUGAUAGUUACAAGAUACUUCGUGGCCAAAUACUGAUGAUGAAACCUCUUCCUAGCGUCUCAACUGCGUACUCUUUGAUCAUUCAAGAAGAACAACAAAGAGGUAUAACUAAUAAUUCUCAGAUUAACCUUGAUUCUAUAGCCAUGCAUGCUUUAUCUGAUGUUCAAAUCAACAAGAAGCAAUUGAUUUGUAAUCAUUGCAAGAAGUCUGGCCAUACAAAGUCUCAAUGUUACAGGAUAAUCGGUUUUCCUUCCAAUUUUAAGUUCACAAAAGGCAAGAAAGAAGAACCUAAAUCUAUGGCUCAGAAUGUUGCUACUAAAUAAGAUAUUGGUAUUACUGAAGAGCAAUACAACCAUCUUCUUCAACUAUUCAAUGCUAGCAACAUUGCAUCUUCCUCUAUGAGUCAAGCAAAUACCUCUAUGAAACUUGAUGCUAUGGAAAAGGAAGGUAAAUCGUUUUCUUUUAAACAUUUUGCAGCAAAUGUUUACAAGUCAUCAAAUCUUUUACAACCUUAUUUAUCAUGGAUUGUUGAUACCGGAGCCACUGAUCACAUGUGUUCUAAUAAAGAACUUUUCUCUACUUUUCAUAAGUUACAUCAACCUCACAUGAUUGGAUUGCCUGAUGGACAUGAUGCAUCUCUUGAAUUUUAUGGUGAUGUUACAAUACAUGAUUCCAUUUUCCUUCACAAAGUAUUAUAUGUUCCAAGAUUCAAAUACAAUCUUGUAUCUGUUUCUCAACUUGCAUCUUAACUUCAAACCUUCUUCAUGUUCACUGAUAGAUAUUGUUUGAUGCAGGACCCUUUGAUGAAGAGUAAAAUUGCACUUGGAAUCUCAGGGAAUCGCAUCAAUGAUCUAUAUGUUUUUCAUCAUCAUUCUCUUAAGUCUAGUUUGUCUUUCAGUUUCUCUAUAUUCAAACAAUCUUUUUGUUCAAAUAAGUGUAAUUCCAAUUAUGAUGUAAUACUUUGGCACAAUCGUUUUGGUCAUACUUCAAUUGAAACUUUAAAGAAUCUUUCUCUCGUUCAUUCUGAUUAUCAUAAUGAUUCCCCUUGUUUAAUCUGUUCCAAGGCCAAAUAAUCUCGUUUGCCUUUUCCUUUAAGCCAUUCCAAAUCCAAGGGCAUUUUUGACUUAGUUCAUGUUGAUCUAUGGGGUCCUUAUAAACAUCCUUCUCAUGAUGGACAUAAAUUGUUCUUAACAAUUUUGGAUGAUUACAGUAGAAAUAAUUGGAUACAUCUUCUUAACAAUAAGAGUUAUGCCUUAACUCUUAUCAAGGAUUUUGUCAAGUUUGUCCAAACUCAAUUUUCAAAGAAAAUAAAAGUGAUCAGGUAUGAUAAUGCCUAUGAGUUGGGAAGUAGUAAUGAAGGCAUAGAAUUCUAUUCUUCUCAAGGAAUCAUUCAUCAAAAAUCAACUUCUUAUACUCCACAACAUAAUGGAAUUGUGGAAAGAAAGCAUAAACACAUUCUUGAGAUUGCACAAGCAUUAUAUUUUCAAGCAGGCUUAAGCACAAAGUAUUGGGGGGAAUGUGUGAAAACAGUUGUUUAUCUUAUAAACAGAAUGCCAACUAAAGUUCUUGAUUUGAAGUAUCCUUUUGAAAUAUUACAUGGAAUGAAACCAGAUCUUAAUCAUUUAAGAUCCUUUGGUUGUUUAUGUUUUGUUGCCACUUCUGAAGUAGGAAGGGACAAGUUCAUGCCCCGAUCUCAAGCUUGUAUUUUUAUUGGAUACCCUUCUUCUCAAAAGGCUUACAAAGUGAUGAAUAUUGAAAGUAAACAAAAUUUUGUUACUAGGGAUAUUAAGUUCUUUGAGCAUAUAUUCCCUUUACAUUCACUCCAUUCCCCGCAACCAUCAACUUCAUCACCUACAUAUAUGCCUAAUGCUUGUGUUGAAGACCCAACUGUCUUAACAGAAACAAUUACCACUCCUGUCAUUAUUGAGUCUUCUUUUGAAGUUGAUGAAGUUUUACAUGCCCCAAACCAUAAUGCACAAGCACAAAAUCCAGCUCAUAAUAACAGACCUGUCAGAACAACGCAUCCUCUAUCUUAUCUCAAGGAUUUCAUUUGUAAUCUUGCUUCAUCUGAUACUAGUGAUUGUUCUCAUACUAUCACUAAUCUUUGUAUCCUUCAGAAUACAUCAAAUUAUUCUAUUCCAUCAAAUGACUGUUUUACCCUUGCAUUCAAUGCAACUUCUUAUGAGACUGAGCCUGUGUUUUACAAUCAAGCAAAAGGAAAUCCUAAUUGGGAGGAUGCUAUGCAAAAGGAAUUAACAGCAUUACCUCAUAAUAAUACUUGGACUAUUGUUAAACUUCCUAAGGGUAAAUGUCCUAUAUCCUGCAAAUGGGUUUACAAGCUUAAGUACAAGGCUGAUGGCACUAUAGAACGAUACAAGGCACGAUUAGUUGCUAAAGGUUUUACACAAAAGGAAGGGAUAGAUUAUCAUGAGACAUUUUCUCCUGUUGUGAAGUUUACCACUAUCAGGUGUCUUAUUUCUGUUGUUGUCAAAAGAGGGUGGCCAAUACAACAAUUUGAUGUGAACAAUGUUUUCCUUCACGGAGAGCUUCAUGAAGAGGUUUACAUGAAGAUUCCUCCUGGUUUAGACGUUGGCUAUUCUACAUUAGUUUGCAAGUGAAACAAGUCUCUUUAUGGCUUGAAACAAGCUUUGCGUCAGUGGUAUGCCAAACUCUCUUCUGCCUUAUAUACUAAAGGGUAUAAACACUCUCAAAAUGAUCAUUCACUUUUCCUCAAGCAUACUAAUGAUCUCAUUAUAAUUGUUGCUGUCUACGUUGAUGAUAUUAUAAUCACUGGCAAUGAUUCAGAAGAAAUUGCAGCCCUUAAGAAGUUUUUAGAUGAUACUUUUAAGAUAAAAGAUCUUGGCAACAUUGGUUAUUUUCUUGGCUUAGAAUUUAAUCACAUUUCUUCUGGUAUAGUUGUUCACCAACAAAAGUUUAUUAAAGAACUUCUUGCUUUAUAUUCCAUGAGUGAUUGUGUUCCUGCUGCCACACCAUUGCCUUCAAAGUUUAAUGGACAUUCUCAUAAAGAAUAAUUACUAGAAGAUGUUGCACAAUAUAGACAACUUGUGGGAAAGCUUAAUUACCUUUUACAUACAAGGCCAGAUUUAUUUUUCACAGUUCAGUAUCUCAGUCAGUUUAAUCAAAAACCUGCCCAAAGUCACUUUCAAGUUGUUUUACAUGUUCUAUAAUAUCUCAAAGGAACUAUUCAUCAAGGAUUAUAUUUCAAUAACAAGCCAACAUUCAAUAUUGAGGCAUAUUGUGACUCUGAUUGGGCUUCCUGUCCAACAACUCGUAGAUCAGUUAGUGGUUUCUUUGUUCUUUUUGGAGGUACUCCUAUUUCUUGGAAGUCAAAGAAGCAGGUUACCAUUUCUUUGUCAUCAGCUGAAGCAGAGUACAGAUCAAUGAGGCGCGUAUGUGCUGAAUUAGCAUGGUUAACAAGACUUUUUCAUGAUCUACAAGUUCCUAAUCUUCAACCAGUUCCUUUGAAGUGUGACAGCUUGGCUGUUAUAUAAAAUCACUUAAUAUUUGGUGUCGUAUUUUAUGGCUAUCUUGAAUUAGAAAAAGUUGAACUUCAAAUGCCAUGUUUGAUUUCUUCAUUGGCAUGCUCAAUAUUACCAAUGUAAUGAAAUCUUAAAAGAGAUUGACGACGUAAAGCCAUAUUAAAAAUGGAUGAAUAUGAUGCUAUUCAUGAAAGUCGGUCUAGAGGUGUCAUCAAAGGUACAGUUGUAUAUAGAGACUCCUAUCUGAUUGAAAAAAUGUAAUAUGAAAACAUGUAAUCAAUUGCGAUUUAUAAGGCCUUAUAUAUAACAUAGCUAAAGUAAAAUUGCAUUCAAUAUAACAGAACAAAUAUGGGUAAUCAAUUUCAACUACUAUUUUUUCUCUAGAGCAACAGUAACAGAAGUAAGUUAACACUAAUGGUCAAAUUUAAGAAGUAAAAGAUUAUGUUUGGUUGUUUGAGAUAACUAGAGAUAUCGUAGGGUUUGGAAAGACUGUGACAACAACAAAGCCAAGAUUGCAUCGUGUAUUGAUUAGUUCGACACUUAAUAAUGAAUUGCAUAGUGUAUAUGAGAACCGUUUGGGAAAGUAGGAUCCAUAAAGGUAUAAUAACAUCCGCAUAACAUCUAAAGUUUAUCUGACAUGCUUUUCAUAGAUCUCUCAAGACAUGAUAGAGAUGGGGGGUAAUGAAGCUUCAAUGAAUUGACAAUGGAAACAUGAAGCGGGUAGAAGGAGUUUGUGCAUUGGAAUAAGUUGACCCGCUCGAAUGACCCGAAAGGGGGUUGCAUUCUCAUGGGGACCCGAGCAGCAGACCNUGACAAUGGAAACAUGAAGCGGGUAGAAGGAGUUUGUGCAUUGGAAUAAGUUGACCCGCUCGAAUGACCCGAAAGGGGGUUGCAUUCUCAUGGGGACCCGAGCAGCAGACCUCCUUUGAGACACUUCGCCAAAGGUUGUGCGAAGCUCCGGUAUUAGCUCUCCCGGAAGGGAUGAAGGAUUUUGUAGUAUAUUGCGAUGCAUCGAUUUCGGGGCUGGGUGCAGUGUUGAUGCAGAGGGGUCAUGUGAUAGCUUAUGCGUCGAGGCAGCUGAAGCCUCAUGAGGCGAGAUAUCCCACGCAUGAUUUAGAGUUGGGGGCAGUAGUGUUCGCUCUCAAGAUUUGGCGUCACUACUUGUAUGGGGUUCGAUGUACGAUAUACACGGACCAUAAGAGCUUGAAGUAUUUGAUGGAUCAGCCCAACCUAAAUAUGCGUCAGAGGAGGUGGUUGGAUGUGGUCAAGGAUUAUGAUUGUGAGAUCCUGUACCACCCAGGCAAGGCUAAUGUGGUAGCCGAUGCAUUGAGCCGCAGGGCGGAGAGCACUCCACUGCGAGAUGUAUGUUUGAGAUUGACUGUAAUAGCUCCAGUAUUGGAUGCUAUUCGUGGGGCACAGGCCGAGGCUGUGCGACCAGAGAUGCAGAAGAGAGAGCGGGUCGUUGGUUUGGUUUCAGAGUUCGUUACGGAUGGACGAGGGCUUAUGACGUUUCAGGGUCGGAUUUGGGUACCGUUCGUGGGUGGUACGCGUAUUACUUUGAUGGAAGAGGCUCAUCGAUCGAAAUUCUCGAUCCAUCCCGGGGCUACGAAGAUGUAUUUGGAUUUGAGGAAAGAGUAUUGGUGGCCCUGUAUGAAGAGGGACGUCGCAUGGUUCGUUGAGAGGUGCUUGACCUGCCGUAGGGUUAAGGCCGAGCACCAGAGACCGCAUGGCAAGUUGCAGCCAUUGGAGGUUCCCGAAUGGAAGUGGGAACAGAUCACUAUGGAUUUCAUCACCAAAUUGCCGAGAACUGCCAGAGGAGUUGAUGCAAUUUGGGUGAUUGUGGAUAGGUUGACGAAGAGCGCUCACUUCCUUGCCAUCAGUGAGAGUUCUUCAGCGGAGAAGUUGGCGGAGAUAUAUGUGAGAGAAGUGGUAUCUCGGCAUGGGGUGCCGAUCUCGAUUGUUUCAGACCGUGAUGUGCGCUUCACUUCCAGAUUCUGGAAGAAAUUCCAUGAGGAGCUGGGUACUAAAUUGCAUUUUAGUACCGCAUACCAUCCCCAGACAGACGGCCAGAGCGAGCGGACGAUUCAGACGCUGGAGGACAUGCUUCGAGCGUGUGUGUUAGAUUUCGGGGGUAGCUGGGAUGCGUAUUUACCCUUGGCAGAGUUUUCCUACAACAACAGCCAUCAUUCGAGCAUUGGUAUGCCACCCUUUGAGCUGUUGUAUGGUAGGAGGUGUCGGACCCCCAUUUGCUGGGGAGAGGUUGGGCAGAGAGUGAUGGGCAGUACAGAGAUCGUGCUUCAGACGACAGAGCAGAUUCAGCAGGUCAGACAGAGGUUAUUGACCGCCCAGAGCCGACAGAAGAGUUAUGCAGACAGACGCCGGUCCGAGCUUGAGUUUCAGGUCGGCGACUUCGUUCUCCUGAAGGUCUCUCCUUGGAAAGGAGUGAUUCGAUUCAGGAAGAGGGGCAAGUUGGGGCCCCGGUAUAUUGGGCCAUUUCGUGUGAUUGCAAGGGUAGGCCGGGUAGCCUAUCGUUUGGAAUUGCCAGCAGAGUUGGGGCAAAUCCACGACACUUUUCAUGUGUCGCAAUUGAGGAAGUGUAUAGCCGAUGAGUCGGCAGUGGUUCCAUUAGAGGAUAUUCAGGUGGAUGCGAGCCUGAAUUAUGCCGAGAGACCAGUGGCCAUCAGGGAUCGGAAAAUCAAGGUUCUGAGGAACAAGGAGGUACCUCUGGUGUUGGUUCAGUGGCAACACCGGAAGGGAUCGGAAAUGACUUGGGAGCCGGAGCGUGAGAUGCGGGAGCAGCAUCCGGAGCUAUUUUCAGAGUGAGACUUCGAGGGCGAAGUCUAGUCCUAGUGGGGGAGAGUUGUAACAGCCCGGAAUUUCAGGUAUUGUUAUAUUUAUGAUUUUGGGUGUUUUAAGAGGGGACUCGGCGAGUUGGAGCUCAGACUCGCCGAGUAGGAUCGCGGAUCUGGUCGCGGGUUCGCGACUGGACUCGACGAGUCCGGAUAUGGACUCGGCGAGUCUGCGCUGUUUAGCGAAAACCCUAACCGUUCAGGUUUGGGACGUAUAUGAGGGACUUUAUGGCCGUCAUUGUUCACCCUAGUCCUCUGAGAGAAACCCUAAUUCGAUUGUGAGCAUCUGGAGCAAGGUAGAAGACCAUUGUUGAUUUUGGAAGUGUUGUUUUGCAAGGAAGAGGAGGCUUGGUUAAGGGAACAACAAGGGAAGCCACGUUCUGAGGAUUGGGGACACAGAGAGCACGUUAUUCAGGUAAUAUUUCGAGUUGCAUCCUUCUAUGUUGAUGUGUAUAUGGAUUUAGGGUUUAUUGAACCCUUUUGUGGCUAGAUUGAGUGUUACCUUAGUCCCCCAAACGAUUGGAACCCUGUAUUGGGAUCUUUGGAAGUCCAGAAUGUCCCAUGCCUGAGCAUUUCGGGAAUCAAUGGAGGUUUUGGAUUGGAAUCCUUAUGCCUUAGGUCAAAAUGUAAAUUAUGAGUCAUGGGGUGUAUUAUGAGCACCGAAAUGAGGACCUUACGUGAUGAAUCAGUCUAGGAAGGCCAGACCUAUGAAUGGUCGGAGCAGUUCUGACCUUAGAAAGCAGUUUGAGCGGUUGCAUGGCAUGGACUCGCCGAGUCCGAUGAACAGACUCGGCGAGUAGCUUGAAGAUUAACUGGGACUCGUCGAGUUGUUCUUCAGACUCGGCGAGUUGAGUCGGGGUGGCCCCGCGAUUCUUCCAGGAGAAACUCGUCGAGUCAAGGAGGAUACUCGACGAGUAGAAAGGGAAUCUUAGAGAAUUGGUGAGGACGUCUAGACUCGCCGAGUCGCCCUAGCACUCGCCGAGUCCGGUCAAGUUGACCGUUGACCGUUGACCAGAGUUGACCUAUGUUUGACCUCUUAGGGAUAGUCAAACUUAGAAGAUAAAAGUGUUAAUAAGAGAUGUAUGAUGUUAUAGGGAGAUUGUAGCUCGGCGGAUCGAGUACGAGUGACUUCGGGAUUUGCUAGCUUUCGACAUUCACGAGGUGAGUCUUCUCACUAUACUGUACCCGGAAGGGUUUGACUGUGUGACCGGAAGGUCGGAUAUGAUAUGUGAUAUAUGUGCUAUAUGUGAUAAGUUAAUUGUUAUACGUGCUAUGUAUGUUAUGUGGGCCGGAAGGCAUUAUGUUAUGGGCCGGAAGGCGAUUAUGUUAUGGGCCGGAAGGCGUUGUGUUGUGGACCGGAAGGUCGGCGUGGGUAGGACCGGAAGGUUUACCCAGCAGGGACGGAAGUCCCCUGAGACACAUGGACCGGAAGGUCAGGGCCUGGAAAGGCGUAUGUGCGUAAGUUGUAUAUUGGGGAACUCACUAAGCAUUUAUGCUUACAGUUGUUAUGUAUGUGUUUCAGGUACUAGCGAGGACCGUGGGAAGGCGCCGGCGUGAUCUGUACACACUGAUAGAUGUUUUGUGAUCUUGGGAUUCAGAUGAUUUGUAUUUUGACAUGACACUUGAAAUGUUUAUGCCUUGUUUUGAAUGAAAAUAACUUAUUUUGAAAUGAAAAAUUUGUUUGAAAAUUUACGGUGUUACAGUUUAGUAGCACAUGAAAAACAAUCAAAUUUCAUAAAUGUACAUCGCUAAUGUCACAGUUUUUCCACAAUGGAGUUUGGUCAAAGACUAUUUAAAUGUGCGUAGGAAACAAGCACAUUUGAUAACACCUCACUAAUCCCAUACAUUGCUUGCGAUAGUAUGUGGUUGAAACUAGCUUUAUACAACAUUUAUUAAAGAUCAAUACAUUCAUUUAUGUAAACAUAUGUACAUGUUUAUACCAUUUUGCUUACAUGGCUAUACAAUCAAGUUUAAAUAGAUGAGGGUUUGUUAUGUAUAACUUACUUAAUUGUUCGAUAUCCUCAUCAUUUGUCGUAAGAUACAAAAUCAUGAGGUUGAUACAAAAAUAGUGAAAUCUAAAGGUGUUACUGUAACAAUCAUAAAAUUUACGCCAAUUUAAAACAUUUUAAUCCAUUCAAAGACCAUUAAGUUAUUACAACUUGUUUUCAAAAUAGUUUAAACAUCCGAGUAUCCUUAUAACCAAAUCACAAAAUCAUGAAAUAUGAGAAGCGGUACGAUCACGCCUUUGCCUUGCCACGAUCUCUUGAUGUACCUGAAACUGUAAGCCCGAAAGCUUAGUGAGUUCCCCCAAAAUACCCAUACACACAUAAGCAUACACAUACAACAAUGAACAACAUAUUAUGGGUCCAAUCAACCGUCGGGUUGGAAUACCCCAAGCCUCAACCAUCGGGUUGGAAUGCCAACGUACUACGAGUCCAAUCAUCCGCGGGAUGGAAUACUCUCGACCCACAACCAUCGGGUUGGAAUGCCUACACACCUAUACAUAUAAUAACUACUAUGGGUCCAAUCAUCCCUCGGGAUGGAAUACCCUAGGCCCUCAACCAUCGGGUUGGAAUGCCCACCUACUAUGAGUCCAAUCAUCCUACCGGGAUGGAAUACUCCUGGCCCAUAACCAUCAGGUUGGAAUGCCCACCUACUAUGAGUCCUAUCAUCGUACCGAGAUGGAAUACUCUCGGCCCACAACCAUCGGGUUGGAAUGCCCACAUACUAGCAAACAUGUGCACUUAUUAAAUAAUCACAUAACAUUCUACAAAAACGACAUAACAAGGCCCUAUCAUCCUACCGGGAUGGAAUACUCUCUACUACUGCUCAAACAUGUGCACAUAUUGUUGGAUUAGUGUCUAAGUCCAUAACUAUUUUGGUAUGUACUUGACCCGAUUAUGAGCAUGGUCCUUUUGGGUUGCCUUCACCAUAGCAAUAUGUAGGAUGAUUUAAGGAGAGAAAGGUUUAAAUAUGAUUUAUUAAUAUAUUAUGAGAAUAAUAUAUUAAAGGAGAAAUCAUAUUGUUUAAUUAAUAUUAGUCAAUAAUUAAUUGUUAAUUAAUUUUGUGGCUAAAAGAGAUUAAUUAAACUUAGGGGACUGAAGUUGUAAUUAUAAGAUAAUUAUAAUUGGGCUAAGGAUCACCUAAUAAUAUAUAGGUUGGACGAAUUCUAUGGGUAGCCCAUUAGAAAUCGUCCAAGGGAUAUGUUUAAGGAGUCCAUGGGCUGCUUAGGGCCUAAGCAGUCAAAUUAGGGUUUCCUAGUUGUAAACCCUAAUAGCCUACAUGUAUAUAAAGGGCCCCUAUGCCCCAAAAACGUGGACAAGUCUUCCAUUAGGGUUUCCAGCCGUUUUUGGGCAGCCUCUAUUCUUCUCCUCUUCAUCCAAGUUGUAUAUGGUGUUUGUGACUCCAUUAGAGGUGCAGCACUUGAGGCACUAAGCUUUCUAAGGCCAAUCCAAGUAAGGAAUUGAUUGUUAUUGCUAUAUAACAAUCAAAGGUAAUUCUAUAAACCCUAAUUUAGUUUGUAAUUUGUUAGAUCUAAGUUUGUUAGUCUUGGAUUCAAAGCAUGUGCAAUAGAGAAACCUAGAUCCAAGCAUUAGGGUUUGUAUGAGCACAUAGGAUUGUUCUUAUGCAUAAAACCCAUCAGUGGUAUCAGAGCCUUGAUUGGUUUCAGUUGUAUNNNNNNNNNNNNNNNNNNNNNNNNNNNNNNNNNNNNNNNNNNNNNNNNNNNNNNNNNNNNNNNNNNNNNNNNNNNNNNNNNNNNNNNNNNNNNNNNNNNNNNNNNNNNNNNNNNNNNNNNNNNNNNNNNNNNNNNNNNNNNNNNNNNNNNNNNNNNNNNNNNNNNNNNNNNNNNNNNNNNNNNNNNNNNNNNNNNNNNNNNNNNNNNNNNNNNNNNNNNNNNNNNNNNNNNNNNNNNNNNNNNNNNNNNNNNNNNNNNNNNNNNNNNNNNNNNNNNNNNNNNNNNNNNNNNNNNNNNNNNNNNNNNNNNNNNNNNNNNNNNNNNNNNNNNNNNNNNNNNNNNNNNNNNNNNNNNNNNNNNNNNNNNNNNNNNNNNNNNNNNNNNNNNNNNNNNNNNNNNNNNNNNNNNNNNNNNNNNNNNNNNNNNNNNNNNNNNNNNNNNNNNNNNNNNNNNNNNNNNNNNNNNNNNNNNNNNNNNNNNNNNNNNNNNNNNNNNNNNNNNNNNNNNNNNNNNNNNNNNNNNNNNNNNNNNNNNNNNNNNNNNNNNNNNNNNNNNNNNNNNNNNNNNNNNNNNNNNNNNNNNNNNNNNNNNNNNNNNNNNNNNNNNNNNNNNNNNNNNNNNNNNNNNNNNNNNNNNNNNNNNNNNNNNNNNNNNNNNNNNNNNNNNNNNNNNNNNNNNNNNNNNNNNNNNNNNNNNNNNNNNNNNNNNNNNNNNNNNNNNNNNNNNNNNNNNNNNNNNNNNNNNNNNNNNNNNNNNNNNNNNNNNNNNNNNNNNNNNNNNNNNNNNNNNNNNNNNNNNNNNNNNNNNNNNNNNNNNNNNNNNNNNNNNNNNNNNNNNNNNNNNNNNNNNNNNNNNNNNNNNNNNNNNNNNNNNNNNNNNNNNNNNNNNNNNNNNNNNNNNNNNNNNNNNNNNNNNNNNNNNNNNNNNNNNNNNNNNNNNNNNNNNNNNNNNNNNNNNNNNNNNNNNNNNNNNNNNNNNNNNNNNNNNNNNNNNNNNNNNNNNNNNNNNNNNNNNNNNNNNNNNNNNNNNNNNNNNNNNNNNNNNNNNNNNNNNNNNNNNNNNNNNNNNNNNNNNNNNNNNNNNNNNNNNNNNNNNNNNNNNNNNNNNNNNNNNNNNNNNNNNNNNNNNNNNNNNNNNNNNNNNNNNNNNNNNNNNNNNNNNNNNNNNNNNNNNNNNNNNNNNNNNNNNNNNNNNNNNNNNNNNNNNNNNNNNNNNNNNNNNNNNNNNNNNNNNNNNNNNNNNNNNNNNNNNNNNNNNNNNNNNNNNNNNNNNNNNNNNNNNNNNNNNNNNNNNNNNNNNNNNNNNNNNNNNNNNNNNNNNNNNNNNNNNNNNNNNNNNNNNNNNNNNNNNNNNNNNNNNNNNNNNNNNNNNNNNNNNNNNNNNNNNNNNNNNNNNNNNNNNNNNNNNNNNNNNNNNNAAGAAGUGAGCUGAAUCUAAUCAUGAAGAAAUGGAUUUCGAUCGCAUUACUUGAAGAAUGGAUUCUUGAGCUACUACUUGGAGUUAGAAUAGAUUGUUAAGAAAUAUGCAAUAACAUAGUUUUUCAAUUAAAUUGCAUUGUAAGGACAAAAAUAUUCCGCAAUAAAAUGAAAUUUGAUUUUAUCUUAUUUAUUUAUCCUUGCAAUGGCAUGUAUGAAAAAUUGAUGUUUGAAUGUUUCUAUUAUUAGCAAUAAUGGAUUUGAUUCUUAAUUAUGUUAUUUGUGGAAAUGUCAAAAGUUUACCAAAUAGGGAGAGUUUCUCAUCGCCCAAGUUUCAAUUGGACAGAAACUUGGAAUCAUGCAAUGUGUAUUGUAUGAUGAAUGAAAAACUUUCACAUUUGGGAAACUUAGACUAAUUCUUUGACAAAGUGUCAAUUGAAGGACUAGGAGAUCAAGUACACUAGGUUGUGCGUUGAUCAAGUCCACCACAAGAGUGACAAAGAUAUUCGUCAUGAUUUACUAAAAGUUUAGUAAAUAUGAUUAUACUUAUAAGAUUAAGUGUAAUUCUGAGUUGAUUGAAAAAGUUUCAAUCAAUAGCAGAACGAAUAAGAAGAAUCAAGUAGGCAGAAAGAUAAAAGUUUCUCUAUUCUAAGAAGAAGGGAGAGUACCUUUUAUUGUGUUUUAUGAUAAGUCUUAAUGAUUAAGAACCAUAUCUCAAUUGAUCCUCUAAGUGAGUCUUAGUGCAAUUGCAUGUCUAAGAAGAGGAAUCGAGAAUUGUAGAAAUGGUUAAAUCAAGAAGUCAAUCAUACUUCGUUCCAAUAUCAAGUCUUAGAGUCAAGAUUGUGACAUUGAGUGAAAAGUCUUAAGUAGGUUUAUAACACUCAUCAAAUGUGGAAUUUGGAAAAGUUUUCUUAUUCUUGCACAUUUGAAAUUGGUAAGUUGUGCUGUCUUGGAUAAGACAAAGACCAACUAGGACCAAUUAUGUGAAGUGUUUUGUCUUGAUAAGAACUACACUAACUCUUGAAUAUUUGCUUUGUCAAGAAAUGUUUCUUGACAAGAGAAUCUUAUAUGUCAAGGAGUCAGUGGGAGUCUUAAUGGUCUUGAAAGGUUUCAAGAACAAAUCAAGAAUAUACCUUAUCGAUCAUCACUAGCACACGACUUGAGGUUUACAACCUAUCGUGCUGACAUUAUUUUGUUUUUGUGCCAUUCCAAUUGAGUUAAUUGUGUAUGUGAGUUCUAUGAGUUCUCAUUUGAAUGCAUACUAGAGCCUUAGUCGAUGGAAAGUACAUUGAUAUGUAAGGACAAGUUACUAAACUACUUGGAAGACAUGGUGGGCACUCGUGUUACCAUAAGGCAAGAAAUCAAGAUUAAGAAAGUUCAGUCCAUAUGAGUUUGGAUUUGUCGCAAACCUUGGUUUUGGCAAAUUCACAUGGAUAGGAACUCAUACACCAUAAAAUCUAAGUGUCAUAAGAUUCCCUCCUUCAUGAAAAUGACUGUGAGGAAAUGCUUUCACUAAGAGAGAUUUUAAGAAGAUAGCAAUUGUGAAAAUUGUAUUCUCAAAUUCGAUUAUGGUUACGGCAUCCCUUUCCAUAGUUCGAAUUGUGAGAUUUGGCAAUUAGUUUCAACAUUUGGAACUUAGUAACAUAAGUUCUGAAUUGUUUAAACACACAUAUGAGCUAUCUAAGACAAAUGUGUAUAAGGCUAAGAAGCCUAGAUAAAGGCUUAUCGAAGCAUCUGGUAUUAGAAAUAUGAAUUUCAGAAAUUCAAUAGGCAUUGUUUUCUGAAAGUUCAUUUGUUUUCUGAAUACAUGUCAAAGCUAGUGGGAGCAUAAGUGUUAUGCUUAUAUGAUAAUAAUCAUCAUGAUAGUGGGAGCAUAAGUGUUAUGCUUGUAUGAUUAUUAUGGCGAGUAUUGCAAGUUAGCAAUAUUAAUUAUAGAAAAACAAAGAUUCAAUUUGCAAAGUUGCAUGGGUUGAAAAGUUGUUUUGCUAUAAUUAAGGGAGAGAAUAUUAUACUUCGUUUCAAAAUCUAAAGCUUAGAUUGAGAAAUUUUAAUAUUUUCAGUCAAAGGAUACAUUGUGUGUUCUUAAAAUUCGAUUAUGAUUACGGCAUCCCUCUUCAUAGUUCGAAUUGUGAGAACAUGACACAUAAAAUAUUAUGGCAAAAGAUUGGUAAAGUAUCAUAUCUUUAUGUAAGACAUUAUGCAUCGUGUCCCAUACGCUUCGGGUAUAGGAUCGAUUGUAAAUGCUAUAGUAUUUUACCAUUCUAAAAUUUUCCAAAUGUCUAGCGCAUUAAGAGGGAAAAAGGAAUAGAAUUGGUUUUGACUGAAAGAAUUUAACAACUAUCAAAGGAUGAUCCAAAGUUCGCUGAGGAUUGAUCGCUUGUGAGUAGUUGAAAGUAUGGUAUUGGAUGGACCAUAUCGACAUUAUUAUGAAUAGAUAAGAUUCUAUUAAGAAUGAGUUGUCAUAUGGCAAAUGUGGAAAUGUUUCCAUAUUGGGAGUUGGAUAUUGAGAUUCUAUGCCUAGAUUAGAAACUUUUAUGCAAGAAGGAUGUUCAAAGGAAUGUACUUUGAAUGUGAGACUUCACAUCUAUGGAAUUGUCUUGUAACAAUUUCUAAGAAAGCACUUUGUAAUUUCAUUAGCCAAGUCUUGGUGACUUUUGUGCUAUGACUUUACGAAAGGAUCGUUGCGUAAAAUGUUAGAAUCUAGCAUAUUCUAGUAGUGGCAAGAACCUUGUGUUCCUACACUAAUAAUUAGGAUUAAGGAAUUGUGAAAUGAGCAUCAUUGGAAAAGUUUUCAGGUGAUCUAUUUCACAAAGCAUGGACCAUAGGAAACAAAGUGUGCAUGUUUAGAGCAUGGGACAAUUGUUGGUAUGAUUCAAGUAAUGAGUUGAUUAUCCGAAACAUUAAAUGAUAAAUAAUGAGUAAUCAAUAUGGUGGAUAAAUAGAAGGGUUUUAUUUACUCUCACAAGUUUGGGGCCAUAUAGGAUUAAGUAUUGUUGUCAUGUUUCAAUUUGCAUGUUUUGACUUCCAGAAUAACUAGGUUAUUCAAACAUCCACAGUUGGUCAUACGUUGGGAGUAGGUAUGAAUAAAGACUGUCAUGAAUCUGUCUGUAGAUUGUCUGAAGUGUUUAGACAUGGCACAAGUUUGCUGCAGAGUUCGUGAGUGCUUUGAUAAGAUUAAAGUAUUGGAUUAAACCCACGCUCACUUGGAUCACUUCACGGUUUUAUCACGAGUGAUUAGUGAGACGAUAAUAUUGUAUAUUCUUGAAACCGAGACGUGUGAGUUGUUAUUUGUUGGUCAGUUACACAUUGAUAAUAAGUAAACGCACCAGUAACUUGGUGUUAUAAAACUUAUUGUUGUGUGUGAUUCGAUCAGUAAAUGCAAGCGAGCAUUUGAGUCGAAGUUUAUCCAUUCCUUUUACCCAAAGUGGGAUAAAAGCGAUAUAUGUGGGCCUCUCGAUGAUUUAGUGAUGACAUCUAAGCGCUUGGCCAAGCCGGGACUAAGUUGAUGUGUUCAAUUGUAGUCUGUUAUCAGUCGUCAUGAAUCGGAAGUCGGGAAAAAGUAUAGAGAGAAUGAUUGAAAUUCAUGUCUUUUGUCUAUACGAUAUCUUGAGAAUGGAGGAAUAUAUAAUCCCUUAUCUAGAGGACACGCUAUCUGAUAAGAUCAGAGUUGACAGCGGCUUUUGAAAGCUACGAUUGCUGAUCAGGUUUUGAAGUCAUACGGAAAAUAGUUAUUAGACUUAUCCAAGUGGGAGACUGUUGGAUUAGUGUCUAAGUCCAUAACUAUUUUGGUAUGUACUUGACCCGAUUAUGAGCAUGGUCCUUUUGGGUUGCCUUCACCAUAGCAAUAUGUAGGAUGAUUUAAGGAGAGAAAGGUUUAAAUAUGAUUUAUUAAUAUAUUAUGAGAAUAAUAUAUUAAAGGAGAAAUCAUAUUGUUUAAUUAAUAUUAGUCAAGAAUUAAUUGUUAAUUAAUUUUGUGGCUAAAAGAGAUUAAUUAAACUUAGGGGACUGAAGUUGUAAUUAUAAGAUAAUUAUAAUUGGGCUAUGGAUCACCUAAUAAUAUAUAGGUUGGACGAAUUCUAUGGGAAGCCCAUUAGAAAUCGUCCAAGGGAUAUGUUUAAGGAGUCCAUGGGCUGCUUAGGGCCUAAGCAGUCAAAUUAGGGUUUCCUAGUUGUAAACCCUAAUAGCCUACAUGUAUAUAAAGGGCCCCUAUGCCCCAAAAACGUGGACAAGUCUUUCAUUAGGGUUUCCAUCCAUUUUUGGGCAGCCUCUCUUCUUCUCCUCUUCAUCCAAGUUGUAUAUGGUGUUUGUGACUCCAUUAGAGGUGCAGCACUUGAGGCACUAAGCUUUCUAAGGCCAAUCCAAGUAAGGAAUUGAUUGUUAUUGCUAUAUAACAAUCAAAGGUAAUUCUAUAAACCCUAAUUUAGUUUGUAAUUUGUUAGAUCUAAGUUUGUUAGUCUUGGAUUCAAAGCAUGUGCAAUAGAGAAACCUAGAUCCAAGCAUUAGGGUUUGUAUGAGCACAUAGGAUUGUUCUUAUGCCUAAAAUCCAUCACAUAUAACAUGUAAUCUCCUACCAGCAUACAGACAGACAAACCAACUACAUGUCACUAAGCAUAGCCACAUCCAAUCUACCAGGAUACCGAUGUAACCAACAAUACUAACACAUAGUCAUCCUUUCUACCAGAAUGGCAACUAACAUAUCACAACAGUAACUAUCUCAAAUAGCAAAUCAAAGGGCUGACUUUGGUGCCUUAGAACCUUGGGUAUAUCGAGGAUAACUCACCUUGCAAUUGCUGAACUGAAGAGAUGAGAUCAAAACUCCCGAUCAUUGCCACGAACACCACCGCCUAAAACUUCAUUGAAAUCAUAACCAUCAGAGCCCAAAUUACCAAAAUACCCCUUUGAAGUCAAAUCCUAACCCCCAUUAUUGCAUUUUGGAACCUUAGUGACCAGUUUAACAAGUUAAUCUUACCAAAUGGCUUAUAGCCCAAUGAUAUCAGAUGUUGUCUUUCCUCCUUGAAGUUGAGGAUUCAAGUCUCGUUGGAGAUAUAAGUGGAUUUAUGAGUAAUAGGAAUAGAAUAGAUUUGUCACUAAAAAAAAAUCAACUUCAAUCCAUACUUAAUCCAUAUAUAGCAACGAAGUUGGAUAUUUUAUGUUGUCUUCAUAAGGUUGCACCUAACACCUUUAAAUAAAUAAUCAUUAACCACUUUCUAGAAGAGUGUAUAAAUCAAGGCUCAUUUCAGUCUCCAAGAUAUAAGGUCUCUCCUUCUAAUAGGAAAUUAACGAUAUCAAACAAGACCAAUCAUUCAACCAUCUCCAAAUAGAAAAUAACAUAGCUACAACUAAGGUUCUAAAGCAGUUAUUGCGGUCCAAAUUUCAAUAGCGGUCACAUGCCGCUAUUUGAAAUUGCAGUUAUCGCGGUGGUAUAGCAGUGGUAUAGCGGUUUUUUAAUAUUAUGUAUAAUUUAUAUUAUAUAUCUAUACAAAAUUUAUAUAUUAGAUUAUUAGUACUAUAUGGAAUUAAUAUCAUAAAAAAUCAUAUAAAAACAUAACAUAAUCUAUAUAUAAUAUUCUAAUAUAGUUAUAUGGAAACUAAAUGUGUCAAAAUGUCAUUACAACUCAAGUCGUUCGUGGUUUCUAAGUACUGAAACAGAUGAGAAAGAGAAGUUGUCAUUUGUUGAUUUGUAGUUUGUAAUUAAUCAUGAUUAUUAUUUGGACUUAUUAAGACAAAAAGUGUAGUGGACUAAUUAAAAAAAAUAAAGAUUUAAUAUUGAAAUAACACACAAUUGUUUUAUUCUUUGUCAAAAUAACCCAAUAUGUAUAAAAUUGUAAAAGCGGGUGUAGCGUCGCUAUAGCGCUGAUGAGUUUCACGGUAAACAGCGGUCGAUAGCGCCGCUAAUAACGCCACCGCUAUUUGUAAACGCUAUUUCAAAAUAACGGUUCAGUAACACCGCAAAACGCUAUAGCUCCGCUAUAGCACGCUAUUGAUAGCACAAGUUCUGAAUAAUGAACAAUUAUAGUGUGACAACCUCACAAUGUUAAAUCUCAAGCUUUCUUAAGACGUGACAUUAGUGUUGAAGAUAUGAGGACCAUCAUGACAAACUUGUUAGAACUAUAACUACAACUUUAAAAAAAUAAUCUACUCCUCACACUACUAGAUAAAAGAAAUGAAGAACAAAUAAAUGGCUUCGAAAUACAUUACAACAAACCUCAUCUUUUAUUUUCUUUUUGUCUUUAUGUAUUUUGUUUUGCUUUUUUUUUUUUUUUGAGAAAAAAGAAAUCCAAAUGAGAUGAUAUAUUCUCGGAAUUUCUAAAAGAUUCUUUAAGAAAAAUCGGACCGGGGUUAUUCAAGCGCAGACCGUCGGAUUACGAAAAUAGAAGUGAAACAGCAAUACAGCAUUGGCCAUUGGUCACGCGCACCACACAGGAUCACGUGCUCUCACAAGAUCUCGAGACUAUCGUCAACGUGAUCUCUCUCGAACCAUCCUGACCCUUCGUCGCUUCUUCAUUCACAAACCCUUUCGAACUCUCUGGAAUCCCUAACUUUCUCCAUACUUUCACUUACCCGCUUCUUCAUAUAAAAUCCAUUCGAACUUAAUUCUACUUGUUGAUCUGAACCCAACUAUUUAUCUCUUCAAUUUGCUUGUUUUAGAAGGAAAAAUUUGUGCUUGAUCUUUUUUGAGUGAAAAUGGAUGAGGACUUUGAUAUUCCGGUAGCUGAUGAGAUGAAUGAUGAAUUUAUGGAUGAUAUUGAAGCUCCGGUGACGUUGAAAGUCGGAGAGGAGAAGGAAAUCGGUAAUCAAGGUUUGAAGAAGAAGCUGCUCAAGGAAGGUGAAGGUUGGGACACACCUGAAAGUGGGGAUGAAGUUGAAGGUAUUGUCGUUGAUUUACGUUUUCUAAUUGUACUGUUUUGUGUCUAAAUCGUAUGAUUGUAUUGAUCGCGACGUGGAUUUGAGUUUGUGACAGUUCAUUAUACUGGAACGUUGCUCGACGGGACUCAGUUUGAUUCAAGUCGUGAUAGGGGAACGCCAUUCAAGUUCACUCUUGGUCAAGGUGAGAUUUUUUUUCUCAAUGAUGAAACUGAUUACAUUCAUUCUUUACAUUCGUGCAUUCAUAUUGAUGUCAAACAUGCAUAGUGUGUAUUUACAACGUUCUUUCUGCAUCCAAAGUAACAUAGUGAUUUGUUCAUUGGUGCUUCUACUCCUGCUUGCUAUGAGUGUAUUAACACUCAUUCUACAGUAUCAUAACGUUACAUUAGGUUAUGGAUCGCAUAAUUAACAUUAUUUUCUUGUGUUAUGUGACAACAGGGCAAGUGAUCAAGGGAUGGGAUCUGGGUAUCAAGACCAUGAAGAAGGGUGAAAAUGCACUUUUCACAAUACCUGCUGAUCUGGCUUAUGGUGAAGCUGGUUCUCCUCCAACAAUCCCUCCCAGUGCUACUCUACAGUUUGAUGUACAACUGCUCUCAUGGGUUAGUGUAAAGGAUAUUUGCAAGGAUGGUGGGAUUUUCAAAAAGAUUGUAAAGGAAGGAGAGAAGUGGGAGAACCCCAAGGACCUCGAUGAAGUUUUAGGUACUUUAUUUAUAUCAACUUUUCAUGUUUAAGAUUCAAUUUCUGCAACUCUUUGUUCACUUCUAAACACGUCCUUUUUUUUGUGUGUAAAUGCAGUCAAUUACGAAGUCCAACUCGAGGAUGGGACUGUAGUUGCAAAAUCAGAUGGAGUGGAGUUCAAAGUAGAAGAUGGUAACUUUAGCACAUAUCUGUUUUCUCGAUUAGCUUUACAAUCUUUUUUGAUUGUUGCUUACAUAUAUGGUUUUGAUCAGGCCAUUUCUGCCCUGCUCUGGCUAAGGCUGUAAAAACAAUGAAGAAAGGGGAAAAAGUCAUACUUACAGUCAAACCAGAAUGUAAGUUUACUGUCAUCUUUGUAAAAACUCUUCGCCUCAACAGCUACAAAGGUCGAUUCACUUAUAAAUUUUCUUGUUGCAGAUGGAUUUGGAGAAAAAGGGAAACCUGAAGGCUCCAUUCCUGCAAAUGCUACACUACAAAUCACACUAGAACUUCUGUCAUGGAAGGUGGUCACAAAUGUUACAGAUGACAAGAAAGUCAUCAAGAAAAUCUUGAAAGAAGGAGAGGGGUAUGAACGCCCGAAUGAAGGAGCUGUUGUUCAGGGUCAGUUGGCUUAUUCGAUUUGAUUCUUUUCUUGAUUCUUUAAAGUUUUUAUAACAUUAUGUCUGAAAUCGCUUCUUGUUUUGAUAACGAACAGUGAAGCUGAUUGGUAAGCUACAAGAUGGUACAUUGUUCAUCAAGAAAGGUCAUGAUGAUUCUGAGCCUUUUGAGUUCAAGGCAGAUGAAGGUAUAUAAACCAUUGGAAAUUCUUUAUAUCUUUUAUUGUUUUAUGUUAUGUAAUCUUAUUUUCAUUAAUCCUCACUUUGGUAUUUGCAUAAACAGAGCAAGUGAUUGAUGGACUUGAUAAAGCUGUGAUGACAAUGAAGAAAGGAGAAGUAGCUCUUCUGACAAUUGCUCCAGAAUAUGCUUUUGGGUCUACUGAUUCAAAGCAAGAAUUAGCAGUGGUUCCCCCUAAUUCCACUGUCACAUAUGAAAUUGAGCUUGUUUCUUUUGUUAAGGUAAGCUGUGCAUAAAGUUUAGUUUUUUAUGAUCAUAUAUUUAAUGUCAACGUUUAUUUAUUUUCAUUUUCAGGACAAAGAAUCAUGGGACAUGACCACGACUCAAGAGAAGAUUGAGGCUGCUGGGAAAAAGAAGGAAGAAGGAAAUGCGUUCUUUAAAGCUGGUAAAUAUUUGAAAGCAGUAAAACGAUAUGAAAAGGUAAAGAUUCAGUUUAAAUAAAGCAGUGGUUUGUGUAAUUGUUUAUGACUAAAUCUGUGUUUUUUGUUUUUUUUUUUUUAACAUUUCCAGGCUGCUAAGUUUAUCGAGUAUGAUACUAAUUUUGAAGAAGAUGAGAAGAAACAAGCAAAAGCAUUGAAGAUUACUUGCAAUCUUAAUAAUGCAGCAUGCCAGUUGAAACUCAAGGAUUACAAACAGGCUGAAAAGCUUUGCACUAAGGUUAUAGAUACAAAUAGAUAAUCCUAUUCACACUUAUUGCUUUUUCUUUUUUCUUUUUUUAUUAAUUUUAUGAUGUUUUAAAAGGUUCUAACAAUGGUCUGGAAACAUGAUCUGUACAGGUUUUGGAACUUGAAAGUACAAAUGUAAAGGCUUUGUACAGAAGGGCUCAAGCUUACAUCAAUGUAGCUGAUCUGGAUCUUGCAGAGAUUGAUGUAAAAAAAGCCCUUGAAAUCGACCCUAAUAACAAGUAGGAAUCCUUUUUUUUUUUUUUUUGACAGUUGGUGAUUUAUUUGAAGCUUAUAGCAAGUGAUGAAUAUGGUUUUAAUGAUGAUAUGAUUAGGGAUGUGAAACAUGAAUAUAAAUUGCUCAAGGAGAAGAUAAAGGAAUACAAUAAGAAGGAUGCUAAAUUUUAUGGAAAUAUGUUUGCCAAGAUGACAAAACCCUCUUCCAAUGUGAGAGCUUUUUGAAAAUAUGUGUAUCUGUUUAUAAAAUAAAAAUCAUAAAAAAAAGGGGUGUAAUGAAUGGUGAUUUGAUUAUGAUUGUGUGCAGAAGGCAGCAGGGACAAAGGAGGCAGAAGAACCAAUGAGCGUAGACAGCAAGGCUUAAUCAUUUAAAAGAUAAAAGAUAAAAGAUGUGUUUAAUGUAAUGUUGUGCCAUAAUAGAGGGGUUUUCUGGUAUUUUUUUUCUUAAUUUUCUAGUGCUCUUAUUUGGUUUUAAUUCUUCAGAUAGUGUGUGUUUGUCUGGAAAAAAAAAGGUAAAAGUUAGUGUGACGACAGUUGAGUUUUAUUUACUUUCUUUUUAUCUUCACAUUUAUGUAGACAAACUGUAUUGGCAUAACAUAAUCUAUUAAAACUUUUAACUUUGUUUUUCUCUUUAAGUUAUUAUAUAAAACAAAACCAUAUGCUCAUUUUACAACCUGAGACAUACUCCCAGCAAGGAACGAAUCUAUAUGCCGGUAACAAUUAAGUUAAAAUGACAAAGAAAGUAAGAAACAAAUAAGAAUGCAUUGUGUACUCUGGACGAACAACAUAUGAAAAGCAAAAAAGCCUCUUUCCUUCACCUUGCUCCCUUUAUUGGUAUGGUUAUUGGAAUGUAGAAAACAAAAAAAAACUCCAAAAAAAUGGACCACAAAUUUGGAUGCAAAGCCUAAAUUCAGAGUAUGUGACCAUCGUCGUUAUUAUUUUGAAUUUUUUUUUAGAGAAAAUUGCAAAUUUAGCCAAAUAUACUAAUUACUUUGUGGAAAAUAGCAAAAAAAAACAUAAAUUACAAAAUUAGUCCUUAAAAUCGCAGAUGGAUUAAGUCCAUUUGCGAUUUUGUAUUUCCAUUUGCGAUUUUGUGUAUUUUAUACAUUUUUUAAAAGAGGUUUUAAACAAAUUUUCCAACGAAAUAACAACAAAAAUGAUAAUUUUUUGAAAAAAAUUAUAUAUAAUAAGUUUGUUUCGUAGUCAAACUCUAUUAAUUUCGUAGUUAAGAAAAACAUAAAAUUGCAGGUGAAAACGAGAGGAAAUCAUAAUUGGACUAUCUCCAUCUACGAUUUUAUGCUGGAAAAGGAGUAUACAGCGAAAAAAAAAUUAAAAAAUAAAAAACCACCUGUGAACGUACAAGUGGAUAAAGCACAGACGUGCUUUAGCCACUUAUACAUUCGCAGAUGGGAAGGCGGAAUCAUAGAUGACUUAUACCCAUCUGCGAUUUUAAUAGCUAAAAAUGCAAUUUUGAAUUUUUUUUUGGUUAUUUUCCACAAAGUAAUUAGUGUAUUUGGUUAAAUUUACAAUUUUUUCUUCUUUUUAUCUUAUCCUUCUUAAAUUUAGAUGUUUUCCCUAUGAAUCUUAAUCAUUCAAAUUAUUUUUUCAAACCUUAGUUUUUAUGGAGAUUUUCAUAAAAGUUUCUUUGAUUCUGAAUUGAAUGCCUAAUAUAUCUAAUUGUGAAACAUCAUAAAAUAUAUAUUUUUUUACUACGAAUCUUAAUUAUCCAAAUUGUGAAACAUCAUAGAGUUUGAAGAUUUUAAAACGCCAAGUAGAUAUGCUGAAAAAAGUGCAUUACGGAACGUGGUGUCAUGUUAGUGGAGAUUGUGGAACAAAUCAUAUAAAAAUUUCCACGUAAGCAAAAGUUUGUAAAAGGUAUGAUUGUCUAGCAAAAACUCAAGCAAGUCAAUGGGCAUACAAGACAACAUCUAAAAGAAAAUUGAAGACAAGUAUAAAAGAAAAUCGAGUGAAAUGAGUUUGAAAGAUGUCGAGAGCAAAGUAAAUUGUUAAACGAAUGAACGUAAAUAAGAAAAUUUGUUAGUCACGAAUUUAAAUGAACCAAUACCAAUAUCAAACAAUUUAAAUGACUCAAUGCCAAUUAAAAAACAGUUAUAACUAUUUCAGUCUUAUGAAAAAAAUCUUCAAAAACAAUAAACGAAUAGUAUAAUUAAAUUUUUACUUUUCAUAUUUUUUUUAUCACAUGUUUGAAAACGUUUGUACUUUUAAUAAAAGUUUAUAAUUUGAUAAGUUUUAUUUAAGCAUGUGUUUGACAAAAUAAUUGAAAAAUUAGUUUUUGUAUUAUUGAGAUAGCUAAAUAAAUAAUAAUGUUUGAUAAAAAUUCCUAUUUAAAGGAGAUAUAAAAUGACAGUUAAAUAUAUAACUAAACCUGAUGAUAAUUUAGAACAACUAAAAUCGAAAAACCAAGAAAAUUGAAAUAACGAAUCACUUAAAAAAAAUAAGAAAAUUUUAACAAAGGAAUGAAAACCAAAAACCAAGUUGUUUAAAAAAAAGAAACAAAACAAUGUGACUAAAAAUCAAAGCGUUUCAAGAAAACAAAAAAAAGAUCAAAAUUAGAGUAAAUGAAAAUUAUUGGUAAUGCUAGUAGUCAUAAAUAAUAAUAAUAAUUUUAGUUACGAUGAAGAAAGUUUCCCUCAAUGUUCUUUGACUUCUUUCCCAUUGGUCCCUCGGAAUCGAAAAGACGCAUCCCACAUCGGCUGCUACUGCAAACGAAACAGCAUAUAUAAAAGAAGCGGAGAGAAGAAGAAGCACGACCUUACUUGAACAGGAUCUGUUCUAUAGGCUCGUACCUCUGUAUUCUUGAUUCCUAAGAAGACAGAAACCCAUGUCUGGUUGAUGAACCACGACCAUGUAACCAGACCGUGAUUAACAGAGUUUCUUAUGGUCCCGACCACGGCUCAGUAGAUGAUCGUUGCCUGCUCAUCUGAUGAUGGGUCUUGGCAUGGCUACAUGGUUGUCUGACAGACAAUGCACUUUCUUUUUUGAUUACCAUUUUUGAGACGCAAAGCAACCGUUUGAUGAAAUGUCUGAAAGGCGCUCCUACUAAUUAUUGCUAGACAACUAAACUUUCUUAUGGGUUCUAUAAGUUGUGAUUUUACAUGGGAAAUGUCAAAACUCAGAGAUGCAAAUCAAGUGUUCGAUGAAUUGCCUGAAGGAGAUUAUGUUUCUUCUUUCUUGGGUCAGCUUAUGACUCAUCUUAAUUUGUUCUCCUAGCUCAACUGGACUGAGUGGCUUCUUAUUCGGUUCAGUCGAAAGAUUGCUUCUCAGAUUUCAGAAAUAAACCACUACAAAAUCUUGUUCAACAAGCGAACCUUAAGCUGAUGUUAGCUAAUAUGUAGAUGCAUAUAUUGAAGGAUGCAUGCCUGGUUGACAUUUUGAUGUAUUUAUAUAUAUGAUCACGUUGAUUGCUUAUACUUAAAUGGACCAAAGAAAUUU